rnacentral:lncRNA from 1 species
UAUUGUAUUAUAUGAGUUUGGUAACGGGCAGGUGUUGAGGAAGUGAUGUUUAAAAUAAGAAUUCACAAUGAUGAUUGGUAUACUAAAGUAUAGUACUAGUACUUGCAUGAUCAUGUAUAUGUAUUUGAUAAUUGUUUUGUUUAUUAUUGAUUGUGUUGUGAUUAUAGAUUCACUGAGUAAACUAGUUGCUCAUGACUCAUUCGUGUGUGCAGGUAACCCUUAGGUGGGAGACACUUUACUUUUUGGACAGAAGGAACGGCCAACCAGCGGUAGUAUUUUGUUGUCCUUGCAACGUACCUUUUGAUAUAUAUUUACUUAAAACGUUGUUAGGCAAUAGGCCGUAGGAUAAAACUAUAACAAUUUGUAAAAUGUUUAAAGUAAAUAAAUAAUGUAUAAAAAUAUGUUUAUAAAUCACGAGUUCUCAUAUGAUAUUAGUCCUUGUCCGGGACAAACUAACUAUCGAAUAUUGCUUUAUCGGGUUGAAAAGCCUAGAGUAAU